GUGGCGAACGGGUGAGUAAUACAUCGGAACGUGCCCUGUAGUGGGGGAUAACUAGUCGAAAGAUUAGCUAAUACCGCAUACGACCUGAGGGUGAAAGUGGGGGACCGCAAGGCCUCAUGCUAUAGGAGCGGCCGAUGUCUGAUUAGCUAGUUGGUGAGGUAAAGGCUCACCAAGGCGACGAUCAGUAGCUGGUCUGAGAGGACGAUCAGCCACACUGGGACUGAGACACGGCCCAGACUCCUACGGGAGGCAGCAGUGGGGAAUUUUGGACAAUGGGCGAAAGCCUGAUCCAGCAAUGCCGCGUGUGUGAAGAAGGCCUUCGGGUUGUAAAGCACUUUUGUCCGGAAAGAAAUGGCUCUGGUUAAUACCUGGGGUCGAUGACGGUACCGGAAGAAUAAGGACCGGCUAACUACGUGCCAGCAGCCGCGGUAAUACGUAGGGUCCAAGCGUUAAUCGGAAUUACUGGGCGUAAAGCGUGCGCAGGCGGUUGUGCAAGACCGAUGUGAAAUCCCCGAGCUUAACUUGGGAAUUGCAUUGGUGACUGCACGGCUAGAGUGUGUC
rnacentral:rRNA from 1 species